GCCACGCGUGGUGGUGCAUGCUUGUAAUCCCAGCUACUUAGGAGGCAAAGGCAGGAGGAUGGCAAGUUGGAGGCCAGCCUGGGCAAUUUAUCCAGAUCCUGUCUCAA
rnacentral:sRNA from 1 species